AUUUUGCGUGCAAUCAGGUCGUGUGGAAACUACUGUGCCGGUUUCUUCAGACGAGGCAAGUGGUGGUACCGAAGAAACGAAAGAAGAGGACCAACAAGUUGUUUCUGAUGCGGAAGCUGUUGCGGUUUCCUCAGACGAAGGAGCUGAUGAUGCUGCAGAACUGGAAGCAACCAUGGAUGCUCAGAACAAGGAGCAGAGCGAGCUAGUUGUGUAGCAGGGCUAGGAAGAAGAAGUGAUUGCUAAAAAUGACAGGGAUGAGAUCCACCGCCAAGAAUGAUGCAUAGCUAACUGCUGUCGUAGUCGAUUUCUAACAGGGAAUACCUUUCUAGACUCCAACCUUCAUA